rnacentral:tRNA from 3 species
GUCCCCAUUGACUAGGGGUUAGGUCACCACCCUUUCAAGGUGGCUGCGGGGGUUCAAAUCCCCCUGGGGACGCCA